rnacentral:rRNA from 1 species
CCAAUAGCGUAUAUUAAAGUUGUUGCAGUUAAAAAGCUCGUAGUUGAAUUUCGGGAUCAACAUGUCGGUCGUGCCUCCGGUACGUACUGGCAUCGUUGAUUUCUACCUUCUGACGAACCAUGAUGUCAUUAAUUUGGUGUCAUGGGGAAUCAGGACUGUUACUUUGAAAAAAUUAGAGUGUUUAAAGCAGGCACACGCUUGAAUACAUUAGCAUGGAAUAAUGAAAUAGGACGUUUGACCCUAUUUUGUUGGUUUCUAGGAUCGACGUAAUGAUUAAUAGGGAUAGUUGGGGGCAUUAGUAUUCAAUUGUCAGAGGUGAAAUUCUUGGAUUUAUUGAAGACUAACUACUGCGAAAGCAUUUGCCAAGGAUGUUUUCAUUAAUCAAGAACGAAAGUUAGGGGAUCGAAGACGAUCAGAUACCGUCGUAGUCUUAACCAUAAACUAUGCCGACUAGGGAUCGGAUGAUGUUAAUUUUUUAAUGACUCAUUCGGCGCCUUGCG